CACCUUCUGUCUUUUUUCUUAUGAUUUCUACAUGCAGAUGAACAAGUAGAUACCCAGAUUUUUUUCAACUUUUGUUUUGUGCUCUCUGGCGACUGACGGCCUAUUCGGUGGAAUGAAUCAACUCACCGUCAUCAAGACCAUCAAUUCUCGCCGGAGAAGGUUAAAAAUCCGGCGGCUCAAGUACACAUGUAAAACGAAGACGUAUGUCACUAUCCCCGGCGAUCAGAAGACAGAAUCUACCGACUCUGUUCACGAAACAAAAGCGAGUGAUUGUUCGGCGGAGG
rnacentral:misc_RNA from 1 species